rnacentral:rRNA from 1 species
GACGAACGCUGGCGGCGUGCCUAAUACAUGCAAGUCGAGCGAAGCGGCGGAUGGGCGAGUAACGCGUGGGGGACCUGCCCUUAAGUCUGGGAUAACAUCUGGAAACAGAUGCUUAUACCGGAUACUGAUGGAGGGGCCUGCGAUUCAUUAGCUAGUUGGUAAGGUAACGGCUUACCAGUGCGAGGAUGCGUAUCCUGUCUGAGAGGUUGUCCGGCCACAUUGGGCCUGAGACACGGCCCAUACUCCUACGGGAUGCAGCAGUAGUGAAUCUUCCACAAUGGACGAAAGUCUGAUGGAGCAACGCCGCGUGAGUGAAGAAGGUUUUCGGAUCGUAAAGCACGGUUGUUGGUGAUGCGGUACUCACAGAAUAAGUAACGGCUAACUACGUGCCAGCAGCCGCGGUAAUUC